AUACGUAGGGUGCAAGCGUUAAUCGGAAUUACUGGGCGUAAAGCGUGCGCAGGCGGUUUUGUAAGACAGAGGUGAAAUCCCCGGGCUCAACCUGGGAACUGCCUUUGUGACUGCAAGGCUAGAGUACGGCAGAGGGGGAUGGAAUUCCGCGUGUAGCAGUGAAAUGCGUAGAUAUGCGGAGGAACACCGAUGGCGAAGGCAAUCCCCUGGGCCUGUACUGACGCUCAUGCACGAAAGCGUGGGGAGCAAACAGGAUUAGAUACCCUGGUAGUCCACGCCCUAAACGAUGUCAACUGGUUGUUGGGUCUUCAUUGACUCAGUAACGAAGCUAACGCGUGAAGUUGACCGCCUGGGGAGUACGGCCGCAGGGUUGAAACUUAAAGGAAUUGACGGGG
rnacentral:rRNA from 1 species